UACGCCAUAUGAGAUCGCUGCUAGCUUUAACACGAAAACGAUCAUCAUAAAAUUUCCGACGAGCUUCUUCGACGGCAGCUAGUUCCUCCACUGUGCCGGCGUCCGGAUCAAACUCCCAUGUCUGUCUUCCGAGGAAGUUGUUGGUACUGAACAAGUAGGGCUCUUCUUUGUUUCCAUUUGCUAUCUUCAACUUCCACAUUCUUUAGACCUUAAUUAAUUUAAUAAUCUAAAGAUAUGGCAUAUUUUAUGCAUCGUGCAUUGAGAUGCACGUAAUAUAUGUGGAGAAAAUUAAAGAAGAGAAGUGUGUGAAAUUGAAUUCAUUUACACGCACACACAUACAUACAUAAUU
rnacentral:sRNA from 1 species